rnacentral:rRNA from 1 species
UGGUGGGGUGACUUGUCUGCUUAAUUGCGAUAACGAACGAGACCUUAACCUGCUAAAUAGCCUGCAUUGCUCCGGCAGUGCGCUGGCUUCUUAGAGGGACUUUCGGCUCAAGCCGAAGGAAGUUUGAGGCAAUAACA